GUUUGGUUGUAGCGGAUGUACCGUUUGAACGUGUGGAACAAUACUCCGGCUUCGUUAAUAUUCUCAAACGAUCAGUCUAACAGACGUUGUGACAGAAAGACCGCCAAUAAGAGUAGUCAAACGGCACUGUCGUCUGCUAGUGUUCGUGUUAACUGAGGUAUAGUUGGAUCGUCAGAGUUGUUGUUCAGUCAUCUAUUAAUCAGUGUUAUGAAAUACUUCUGUUUACUGGCGAUCGAUCAUGCAGUAUGAACAAGUUAUUAAACUUCCUAUCCGUCGCUGAAAUUUCAAUCUUCGGAUUUCUCCUGGUUUUAGUACUUCAAGUUAACAGCCUAAAAUGUUAUCAGUGCAACUCAUUAGACAACCCUAACUGUUUAACAGCCCAUCUAGAACCGAAAGAGUGUGUCGGUGAACACAAAGAAGCAAAGUUUUGUGUAAAAUCUAUUGGAUUUCUAAACAAGGGCACGCUGGUUAUAAGAAUGUGUGGGGCUGAUUACAGCAUAAAGAAUAGCUGUAGACCACACCAAAUGGAGGAAGGUAGUUUGACCAAUGUGUGUUUCCAUACCUGUAAUGACGAUGCUUGCAAUUCAACUCAACACCAAACGCCUUUAUUACAUCUUAUUCUUUCAUCUUUAUUUGUCAUUUUUUGUAAAAUGUUAUUCGAUUUCUUUUAGUCGGCAAUAAAUGGUUGAAUUUGUAA